rnacentral:rRNA from 14 species
AGUCAUGUCCGGUGACCCUGCCCUGAAUGUAUAGGGGUGUGGGUGGUAACGCGGGGAAGUGAAACAUCUUAGUACCCGUAGGAAGAGAAAACAAGUGUGAUUCCGUGAGUAGUGGCGAGCGAAAGCGGAGGAGGCUAAACCGUGUGUGUGUUCAAGCCGGCAGGUGUUGCAUGUGCGGGGUUGUGGGGGCCUUGUGGUUCUGCUGCCGCAGGAUUGGCCAGUGAGAAAUGUUGCGUGAAGGUGAAGCGUCUGGGAAGGCGUACCGGAGUGGGUGAGAGUCCUGUAACUGUAAGCGUGGCACUGGUGUGGGGUUGCCCCGAGUAGCGUGGGACUCGUGGAAUUUCGCGUGAAUCUGGCGGGACCACCCGUCAAGCCUAAAUACUCCUUGGUGACCGAUAGUGGAUGAGUACCGUGAGGGAAGGGUGAAAAGUACCCCGGGAGGGGAGUGAAAGAGUUCCUGAAACCGGUCGCAUGCAAGCCGUCAGAGCCUGUGUGGUGAUGGCGUGCCUUUUGAAGAAUGAGCCUGCGAGUUAGUGAUGCGUGGCGAGGUUAACCCGUGGUGGGGGAGUCGUAGCGAAAGCGAGUCCGAUAAGGGCGUGAGUCGCGUGUUCUAGACCCGAAGCGGUGUGAUCUAUCCAUGGCCAGGAUGAAGCGUCGGUAAGACGUCGUGGAGGUCCGAACCCACUUCAGUUAAAAAUGGAGGGGAUGAGUUGUGGAUAGGGGUGAAAGGCCAAUCAAACACCGUGAUAGCUGGUUCUCCCCGAAAUGCAUUUAGGUGCAGCGUUGCGUGGUUCUUGUUGGAGGUAGAGCACUGGAUGGUCUAGGGGGCUUAUCGGCUUACCGAAAUCAGCCAAACUCCGAAUGCUGGCAAGUGUAGCGUGGCAGUGAGACGGCGGGGGAUAAGCUUCGUCGUCGAGAGGGAAACAGCCCAGAUCAUCAGCUAAGGCCCCUAAGUGGUGACUCAGUGGGAAAGGAUGUGGAGUUGCGUAGACAACCAGGAGGUUGGCUUGGAAGCAGCCAUCCUUGAAAGAGUGCGUAAUAGCUCACUGGUCAAGUGAUUCCGCGCCGACAAUGUAGCGGGGCUCAAGUACACCGCCGAAACCGUGGCAUUCAGUUUUGCUGGAUGGGUAGGGGAGCGUCGUUCACGAGGUGAAGCCAGCGGGUAACUUCUGGUGGAUUGUGGACGAGUGAGAAUGCAGGCAUGAG